UACGAACCGUGCGAACGUUAUUCGGAAUCACUGGGCUUAAAGCGCGUGUAGGCGGAAGGGCACGUCCGUUGCUGAAAUCCCCCGGCUCAACCGGGGAACGGGCGCGGAUACGGCUCUUCUGGAGGGGCGUAGGGGGACCUGGAACUUCCGGUGGAGCGGUGAAAUGCGUUGAGAUCGGAAGGAACGCCCGUGGCGAAAGCGAGGUCCUGGACGCCUACUGACGCUGAGACGCGAAAGCCAGGGGAGCGAACGGG
rnacentral:rRNA from 1 species